rnacentral:lncRNA from 1 species
AGACAGAGCAGGUGACGCCUGUACUCUGCGCUCAGACUGACAGACUGACUGACUGACUGACUGACUGGGCACUCUGCUAACGGGGUGAGGAGAAGCAGGGCCUUAGGGCUGACUGCUGACUAAAGGACUGACUGCCCAGAGGCCGGGCGGGCAGACAGAUCCUGCUGCUGUGGGCUCCUCUAGACCAACGGCAAAGCAGAGUGGGCAGCAGGGAGAAGGGAAGAGAGACGGGAGGCGAGGCCGGGAGUGACAAGCAGAAAGAGACACAGGAUAUGGAAUGACAGGGAGCCACAUGGGCAGGAAAGAGAGGAACCCCAAAGCCACAUAAGACAGAUGGCCCAGCAGGGAGCCAGGGACAAGGAGAACAGGGCCCAGCUGGGGAGCUCACAGGACAGCAGGAGGCAUAGGGGCGGAGCCUCAGUAGAGGGGGCGGAGCAUCGAUGACAGUGAAGGGCACCAUGGGAGGUAGUGGUAGGGGAAGACAAGAGAAAAAAGAAACUUCCAAACUCAGACCAGGCAAGCCCAGGGUGUAGACAGAACGCACGGAAAACGGCAGAUUACGAUGUAUUAUUAGAUGUAUUAUGUGAACGCCCUACCCCAGGGCCCUAUUCGCCUCUCCCCACCGGACCCUGACGACCCCCAAAACUAUGCUUCCGCCUACGAUCUUGAAACUGGCGAUGUCUGAAGCCAGUGGUGCAGACAGCAUAGGGAACCCGACGUGGGCUCAUUCUGGAUCGUGGGGCCAGCCUCAGAAGGUGAAGCCAUGAGGGACCCACUUCUCAGGCUUCGGAAGGGCUGAAGGGACAGCUCAACCCUUCUGUCAUCUGAGGACACCCAGAGGCACCAUCGUGAGGAAGAACAGGUCCUCUGUGGAGGGACGGAAGCCUCCAACUUCUUGACCUUGUGCUUUCAGCCUCCAGGAAUAAAUAUCAGUCCCUCCCUCU